rnacentral:lncRNA from 1 species
GAACAUUGAAACAUAAAUUUAAUCGAACGGGUCCAUACCUAUUCACAAAAACCACCAUGAUAACUUUACUUUAACUCAAUAUAAAAAUAUAUUGCCACAAAGUUUGAUACUUGGCAUAAAAUUCAAGCACCAAACUAAACUUUUUUAUGAAUUAAUUCCUUUAAUUGAAUUGAAUUGGUUAUUUUUGAAAAAUCACUUGAGUACAUUAGCUAGAAAUCCGAGCUAAUGGCCCAUUAACUCCAAAUUCAAGGGGGCAAAUUGGCAAUGUAGUCCAUUACAAUAUUC